rnacentral:rRNA from 1 species
CUACCAUGGCGAUCACGGGUAACGGAGAAUUAGGGUUCGAUUCCGGAGAGGGAGCCUGAGAAACGGCUACCACAUCUACGGAAGGCAGCAGGCGCGUAAAUUACCCAAUCCUGACUAAGGGAGGUAGUGACAAGAAAUAUCGAAUCGGGUGCCUUUGUGCAUUGCGAGUUUGAAAUGAGAACAAUCUAAAUAACUUAUCGAGGAUCAAUUGGAGGGCAAGUCUGGCGCCAGCAGCCGCGGUAAUUCCAGCUCCGAUAGCGUAUAUUAAAGUUGUUGCAGUUAAAAAGCUCGUAGUUGAACUUCUGCAAGUUUGAGGUUUCGUCCUUUUAGGCUCGUUACCUUCUUGCAUCCCAUUAGUUUUAACAUCACGGCCUUUGUUGGUCGGUUGUAAAAGCUAUGAAUUUACUUUGAAAAAAUUAGAGUGUUUCAAGCAGGCGAUUUGCUGGAAUACAUUAGCAUGGAAUAAUAGAACAGGACCUUUUGAGUCAAUUUUAUUGGUAUCAAUGACCAUAGGUAAUGAUUAACAGGGACAGUUGGGGGCAUUAGUAUUAUUUCAGAAGAGGUGAAAUUCAUUGAUUGAGAUGAGACUAACUUAUGCGAAAGCAUUUGCCAAGGAUGUUUUCAUUAAUCAA